rnacentral:rRNA from 1 species
GAUGAACGCUAGCGGCAGGCCUAAUACAUGCAAGUCGAACGGUGUCUUCGGACAUAGUGGCGCACGGGUGCGUAACACGUAUGCAACCUACCUUACAUUGGGGGAUAGCCUUUCGAAAGGGAGAUGAAUACCCCAUAAGACAGUAGCUGGGCAUCCAGCAGCUGUUAAAGAUUUAUCGAUGUAAGCUGGGCAUGCGUCCAAUUAGCUAGUUGGUGAGGUAAUGGCUCACGAAGGCAAGGAUUGGUAGGGGAACUGAGAGGUCAAUCCCCCACACUGGCACUGAGAUACGGGCCAGACUCCUACGGGAGGCAGCAGUAGGGAAUAUUGGGCAAUGGACGCAAGUCUGACCCAGCCAUGCCGCGUGCAGGAUGAAGGCGUUAUGCGUUGUAAACUGCUUUUAUACAGGAAGAAACGACUCUUGCGAGAGGCAUUGACGGUACUGUAUGAAUAAGCACCGGCUAACUCCGUGCCAGCCGCCGCAGUAAUAC